GUGCCAGCAGCCGCGGUAAAGCGUAGGGGUCAAGCGUUAUCCGGAAUUACUGGGCGUAAAGCGCGUGUAGGCGGUUGCGUAAGUCGGACGUGAAAGCUCCUGGCUCAACUGGGAGAGGCCGUUCGAAACUAGGUAACUAGAGGGUGGUAGAGGCAAGUGGAAUUCCCGGUGUAGUGGUGAAAUGCGUAGAUAUCGGGAGGAACACCAGUGGCGAAGGCGGCUUGCUGGGCCAACCCUGACGCUGAGAUGCGAAAGCUAGGGGAGAGAACGGGAUUAGAAACCCCGGUAUUCCUAGCCGUAAACGAUGUCAACUAGGUGUAGGUGGUUAUUGACCCCAUCUGUACUGUAGCAAACGCGUUAAGUUGACCGCCUGGGGAAUACGGCCGCAAGGCUAAAACUCAAAGGAAUUGACGGGGACCCGCACAAGCAGCGGAGCGUGUGGUUUAAUUCGAGGCUACGCGAAGAACCUUACCAGGGUUUGACAUAUGCGUGGUAGGGAGUCGAAAGAGGACCGACCCUUCGGGGAGCGCAUACAGGUGCUGCAUGGCUGUCGUCAGCUCGUGCCGUGAGGUGUUAGGUUAAGUCCUGUAACGAGCGCAACCCUCGUCGUUAGUUACAAGUGUCUAGCGAGACUGCCGGUGAUAAGCCGGAGGAAGGUGGGGAUGACGUCAAGUCAGCAUGGCCUUUAUAUCCUGGGCUACACACACGCUACAAUGGCCGGUACAAUGGGCAGCCAAACCGUGAGGCGGAGCCAAUCCCGCAAAGCCGGUCUCAGUUAGAAUGGUAGGCUGCAACUCGCCUGCAUGAAGUCGGAGUUGCU
rnacentral:rRNA from 1 species